GCAGUCUGGGAUCAUGGCUCCCUGCAUCCCUACCUUCCAGCUUCAGCUGUGGCUCAAAGGGCCCAGGUACAGCUUGAGCCACAGCUCCAGAGGGUGUAAGCCGUAAGCCUUGGCGGCUUCUACAAGAGAACCCUGACUAAUAGUCUCUUAAGACACCAGAACCACCAAAAUCUGAUUAUCUCUGAAGACACUAAGUCAUCUGGACAAGAAUCUGGCAAAAAUAUUACAUGCCAUCAAAGCAAAGAUUACUUACACCAAGUAAAUAUUCAAGGAAAUUGCCUGCCAGGCGAGGUGUCAGAGCCCCAGCAAUGGAAAGCAAUUUGCUCGUGGGUAGUAAGAAGAAUUUACCCACAGCUGUAUAGUUAUACAAAGGAACAACUUUGUGUCCUUCCAUCACUGCAUAUUUGCCAAUAAGACAAAAAGGUAUGAUUUACGUUUUCUUUUCUACUUUCUUGAGAUGAAUACUUAAGCUGCUGUUUGUUACACUUUUUUUGGCUGCUAGCAAGAUGGCCGAAUAGGAACAGUCCCAUCUGCAGCUCUCCAGCGAGAACAACUCAGGAGGUGGAUGAUUUCUGCAUUUCCAACUAAGGCACACAGAUUCUCUCGCCACUCCAUGCUGACAGUUCCAGGAGAUAGGAGAAGGGCUGCAUUGGCAAUUCAGGAUUGUCUUUCCUACCUUCUUCAGUACCUCUUUCCUUAACAUGAUGAUAAAACCAGAGAAAGAUAGAAAGCUUGACAACUGCUGCUCCAUUUGGCUCUGUUUAAAAAGAGGAAGAAAGUGACCAGAAGGAUGACAAAAUGGUUACUUGCCCUCAGAGGUCAUAAAAGACCUUGAAAACCCCUAAUGAUGUAAAAGUAGGAAUUAUUAUUUCCUCUCUUGUUUUGAUAGUGGACUCAGCUUCUCUCUAUAACAGAUGGCCUUUUAGGUAAAUGCUAGUGGAUCUUUCCUUGACCUGUUCCUAAGCUGAGAAGUCUUCUGUAUGCAGAGGAGACAAUGCUGAGCCUCGUUUGCUUAUGGAUACUCUGCAAUAGAUAAGGCAGCAGUCUUGGAAACAGCAGAUGGCAUAAACAGGCAUUGUGCCAGUUCAUAAUUACGACCUGGUAGGCCCAGGGAAGCAGUCGUGUGCAUCUCAGAACUGGAACUAACUGGAUCUAUGUUUUUGCUCUGUUACUCUAUUCUUUCCCAUGUAUGUAGUUUCUGAUAUGGCCAUGAGGACAACAAAGAAGGUGUGUGUGUGUGUGUGUGUGUGUGUGUGUGUGUAUUUUUAAUUUUCAAUAGAUUGAAUAGAAACCAAAGU